rnacentral:lncRNA from 1 species
GAAAAUGCACAAAUACCCCAAAUGACGCAUCUCUGCGCGUAUUCAAAUUCUGUAAACGUAAUGUUUAUUACUCAGAAAAAAAUGGUUUUCUAUUUUAUUUUUUAAAAAAUUUCUGUACUCAAUAACAACUGCAUCUCACCUGGCAACUAGUAAACCUACAUUAACACAGAGAAACAAAAUUUUCUUUUUUUUUUUUUUGAGACAGGGUCUCACUAUUUCCCUCAGGCUGAAGUGCAGUGGUGCCUUCUUCACUAGCUUGCACCUUCUCUCC